UGUGUAGGCGGUUCUUUAAGUUUGGUGUGAAAUCUCCCGGCUUAACCGGGAGGGUGCGCCGAAUACUGAGGGACUAGAGUACGGGAGAGGAAAGUGGAAUUCCUGGUGUAGCGGUGAAAUGCGUAGAUAUCAGGAGGAACACCGGUGGUGUAGACGGCUUUCUGGACCGACACUGACGCUGAAACACGAAAGCGUGGGUAGCAAACA
rnacentral:rRNA from 1 species